UUUACUUGCAACCAUAAGUUUCCGUGGUCAACUUCGAUCGUAUGUCUUAUUUGAAAUUUUUUUAUGAUUAAUAUUUUUAUAGUUAUUAGAUGAUAAAACAUGAAUAGUACUUUAUGCGUAACUUAUAUUUUUAAUUUUUCUAAAUAAAUUUUAAAUAAAACAGACGAUCAAACUUAGGCACGGAAAAUGAUGGCUGCACUUAAA
rfam:Oryza rufipogon genomic scaffold, chr05